CAAACGUGUGUACCAGGCUAUUAUCCUAGUAUGUGUUAGCUAUAUUUUUGUUUACUCACCACGUAGCCCAUUACCAACGGUAUCAGAUCCUAUGUAACCAGCAUGUGUACGGGUAUUUUUAUCGUGUAUGUGUAUCUAUCUAUACCCGUGAUUUUACCUCUACGUGUAAACGAAUUGUAAUGAAUAAAUUGCAUUGCCUUCUCAACACAAGUUUUCUGUGCAAUUCAGGAAUCUGGGUUAUCUUUGAUCUGUAUCUCUAUUUUGUUUAUGAUUCUUAUUGAACAUCAAAUUGCCAUCGAUUUUUCUACAAUGUAAUUAGGAGACACGUACAUAGGUUGCGUCAACGGGCUUUUUUUUAUUGGGCCUUAGCCAGAACAUGUUGUAUGAUCGAUUUGGCCCAUGUAGUCUAUUUUAUAUUAAAAUAGUUCACGGAAAUCAAUAUUUUUUAUUUGUUUGUAUUUUUUUUUCCGUUUAUUCAUCACAUUCGCUUGCUACGCUGGAUUGCCACUGUGGCCGCAUAACAUGUUAUAGUCAAUUGAAGCAAAAAAUAAAACAAAGAAGUUGGAUAAAUCCUUCCAUGCUUCUAUUGUGAUCAAUCGUCCUGUCAUAGUGUUGCCAUGUUACAUUUAGUUCUAUUCUUUUUUUUUCAAACAGCAAAUUCUAUUUACUCAUAAUUCUUUUCUGAAAGUGAGGUUGUUCGUACGUAUACAUAUUUUAUUCACUCAGUAAAUUAUAGAAAAAAAAGAACUUAUUGCUACUCCUACUGUCUCUUCACGCAUCUCCAAUAAGAAGCGUCGUGAUACUACACCGUUGUGCAUGUUUCUAUAUGAAUUUCAACGUCCUACAAGUAAGUUUGAUCAUGGAUAACCGAGCAGAUAUACUCAUGUGAACAUGGCCGAACCAUGUGUUUAUUGUGCACUUUAAGAAAGUACUAUGAAUACAUGUCUUGAAAAUUU
rnacentral:lncRNA from 1 species